UGGCAGACAUUGGAUGCUUGCUGGUGAUAUUAAUGAUUCCAAGGUAACACAAGGAGACUGAGAUAAAAGGGUUAUGGGGAGACUGGCUUAGGUUUAAUCCAAACAAAGGAUAAUGUUAAUGGCUCUCUUCAUUUUGGGUAAAUAUGAUUAAGUUAGGGUUUGCUAAAGACGACUUUAGGUGAAAAUUAUCUUAUAUUAAUAUAUACUUAUUAUUACAUUGGGUUGGGCAGUAGUUGUGUCGUUUUGACAAUGGAAAGAUACGUAUGUUAACAUACGUACGUACUUAAUUACAAAAAAAUAGCAACAUUUUUCUCUAAUUACAUUCUAUUAUAUAUGUAGCAUUAUUUUAAGUGGUCUCUAUUUUUUUAUCGCCUAAAUUUUUUAUUGUGAUAAAUCGCCCUUUUCACUCCUCCUUCUUUAUCUUUCCUUAAUUUAAAUUUCUUUUUCCUAUUUUUCCGCCAUUAACCAUCACUCUCUCCUCAAUCUUAUUACAUUUUGCACGAUUCUUGCACGAUCUUUGAUAAGGAUUUGCUUUCCAUAUUUCAGGUAAUUAUUAAUGGGCAAAAUCGCAUUUUGCAUGUGAGCGUUUUUUUUUUUCCUACUUUAAUUCAUCGAAAAUUUAAUUUUCAAGGGUUUUGUAUUUUAAUGGAUGAACACACUGCAAAAACACCUAUAAACAGGGGUACAAGGAAUAUGAAAUUAGUGUAUGAUGCACCAUCUUUUAGUCUUGGGUUAACUCAAGAAGAUUUAGUUACUGUUGUUUCAAAUCCUUUACAGUUGAAGAAAUCUGGUAGAUUGAAAGAUAUUAGGUCGAAGUUUCGGAACGACGAAGUGAAGAUGAUGCCAAUUUUUAAAAAAAGGGUUGAAGAAAACUCCUUCUCCAAAGGAGCAAAAAACUAAAAAACGGUACGAGAAGAAAAGGAAAUCUAAAGAAAUUGAAGACGAUGUUGACAAAUCUUAUGAUGAAUCUGAAGAAGAAGU
rnacentral:lncRNA from 1 species